rnacentral:lncRNA from 1 species
GCAGUCCUGCUUGUAUCAUAAAUGUGGAUGAUCUUUUGUUGUGGCUGAGGUAAUUUCUAUUAUUAUUCCACCAUUUUAUUUCUUUUUUUUUUUUUAACCUCAAAGAGACAUAAGAUUUUCGAAGAAAUGUUUAACUACCAAAGACUAGUACAACCAUUCAUUAACCCUGGGCAUAGAGUGACAUUUGCAGUUUUUAUGAUAGGGUUUUCUCAACUUCAAAGUAUAAGCACAGAGAGGCCCAGGAGGCCUCAAACUAGCACAGGCAAUUCCCACUGCUGUUGGUUGCCCACUAGAACUAGAUGGUAAAAACCUAUUGAUAAGGAUAGCAUGUGCCCUGGGAAAAAGGUCAUAGAGAAAUGAAGCUCCAAUUGAACUUCUGCCUAUAGGAGAGGCAUCAUAACUCCAGAAAGGAGAAAUAUUUUUGACGUAAUCCAGAAGGUAUGUAGUCCUCCCUGCAAAGAAUUCUGUAUUGAGACUGUAAGAAGAAUGUGGUGGUGAAGGUAUGAGGUCUUCUUACCCAUUUGUCUGUGUGCUGCUGGGGACAGAACCUGGUCGGGCACUUCUGCAAGAGGAGCACAUGCCUGGCCAUGGAGAAUACCACCAGCUGCUUUUUUUUUUUUUUUAAUGAAAUAAUUUACUAAAUAAAAUAAGUAAAAAC